GAUAAACGCUGGCGGCGUGCCUAAUACAUGCAAGUCGAGCGAACAGACGAGGAGCUUGCUCCUCUGACGUUAGCGGCGGACGGGUGAGUAACACGUGGAUAACCUACCUAUAAGACUGGGAUAACUUCGGGAAACCGGAGCUAAUACCGGAUAAUAUAUUGAACCGCAUGGUUCAAUAGUGAAAGACGGUUUUGCUGUCACUUAUAGAUGGAUCCGCGCCGCAUUAGCUAGUUGGUAAGGUAACGGCUUACCAAGACGACGAUGCGUAGCCGACCUGAGAGGGUGAUCGGCCACACUGGAACUGAGACACGGUCCAGACUCCUACGGGAGGCAGCAGUAGGGAAUCUUCCGCAAUGGGCGAAAGCCUGACGGAGCAACGCCGCGUGAGUGAUGAAGGUCUUCGGAUCGUAAAACUCUGUUAUUAGGGAAGAACAAAUGUGUAAGUAACUAUGCACGUCUUGACGGUACCUAAUCAGAAAGCCACGGCUAACUACGUG
rnacentral:rRNA from 1 species